GCUCGUAGUAAAAUACGCGACAAAUAAAAAAAUAAUCUUUAUUUAAAAUUCCAAUAAUAACAAAUCUUAAAGUAGCGAUCGUCGAGCUAUGUCAACAAAAUGUCAACAAAAAUAAACUCUUGAUUUGACUUUGAACGAUUAUUAUCAUCGAGCCCAGUUAGUUCUCCUUUGUAUCUCGACGAGUGAACAUCGGAGCUCGCUCUCUUCUUCCAGGACGUACAACAACUACGUAACAUCAAUGGAAUGAUACACCAGACUAAAGAGAAAUCGAUUAUUGCAUGGGAUAAAUAAAAAGGACAAAAGAAUCGUCAUGAAGAAUCAGGAUUGUUAAUCACACAUGGAAUGUAGUCUCUUUCAGUAGUUUCUUAUUUUAUUUAUGGGUUUCUUUAUCAUCUUAAGGAAGAAUAUCGUGGACCAACAGCAAAGAUUUAAGAUAUGUAUAUUUUCCUAUGAAAUAUUUUCACAUAUUUUCAAUAGUUUCUUCAUUAUAUCGAUUAUAUUUUUCGUUUUCUUUUUUUUUUUUUUUUAUUUUAUUUUUAUUUUUGUUUUAGAACAUUUCAAUGUCGAUCUAUUUUAUUUUCAAUCAGUUACUCUUAAAUCAUUCAUCCACAAUUUCGAUCUAAAUCGUGGACGAGUGUUUUAGAGCUCUCAAAAAAAAAUUCACUUACUAUUUAAGUCACUCCGAUCGCUCGAUCAUGUCGUGGAUGAAAGAUACGAAUGAUUGAUUGUUUAAUUAAUUAAUAGAAGAGCAUUGUGUGAUCGUGAAUAAAUUUUCACGAAGAUUUAUUCGUGAAUGGUUUCUUGUGCGUUUUUUUUUUCAUUUUUUAUUUUUUUAAUCAGGAUAAAAUCUUAUUUCAUACGCGUAUUAAUUUGAAUAUCGAAUAUUUCACCGUCAGUCCGUGGGUCUCCGGGUAAAAACAAGUACUCUUCUUUAAAAAAAAAAAAAAAAAAAAAAAAAAAAAAAAAAAAGGA